rnacentral:lncRNA from 1 species
ACAAAAUUUAUGAUUCUAGUUCUGAAGCCAAUUUAGAUGAUGACCCCAAUUCAAACAUUUCUCUUCAUGCCGUUUCAAAAAGGAAGCUGAGAAAAUCAUUCUCAAACGCCGAUCAUCUUGAUCAAUAUGGUUCCUCUGCUUUCCCAUUCACUUCGACGCCUGCAGCAUCAGGAGUUGCAGCAACCGUAAGCACCCCCACACUUUCUGACUUAUUGGAAGCAGGCCCAUCCCAAGAAACUGCAGCAUCAGGAGUUGCAGCAACCGUAAGCACCCCAACACUUAUUGACUUAUUGGAAGCAGGCCCAUCCCAUGAACCUGCUGCAACAGGGGUUCCGACGGCUUCAACCAUUCAAGAAGCAGAAAUAUCAACAGAACAGCCGGUGGCAUUCAAACCACCCACAACCGGACAUACAAAACCAAUGGCCGAGUCCACAAAGUAAGUUUCUUUUAAUUCAAAUAUCAUCCAAUUUAUGUUACUGACAAUUAUGACAAAGUUUCUUUACUAUUAUUAUUACUUUUCAGAUGGU